AAUAGCUCCUGGAAACGGGUGGUAAUGCCGGAUGUUCCACAUGAUCGCAUGUGAUUGUGGGAAAGAUUCUAUCGGCGUGGGAUGGGGUCGCGUCCUAUCAGCUUGUUGGUGAGGUAACGGCUCACCAAGGCUUCGACGGGUAGCCGGCCUGAGAGGGCGACCGGCCACAUUGGGACUGAGAUACGGCCCAGACUCCUACGGGAGGCAGCAGUGGGGAAUAUUGCACAAUGGGCGCAAGCCUGAUGCAGCGACGCCGUGUGAGGGAUGGAGGCCUUCGGGUUGUAAACCUCUUUUGUUUGGGAGCAAGCCUUCGGGCUGAGUGUACCUUUCGAAUAAGCGCCGGCUAACUACGUGCCAGCAGCCGCGGUAAUACGUAGGGCGCAAGCGUUAUCCGGAUUUAUUGGGCGUAAAGGGCUCGUAGGCGGCUCGUCGCGUCCGGUGUGAAAGUCCAUCGCUUAACGGUGGAUCUGCGCCGGGUACGGGCGGGCUGGAGUGCGGUAGGGGAGACUGGAAUUCCCGGUGUAACGGUGGAAUGUGUAGAUAUCGGGAAGAACACCGAUGGCGAAGGCAGGUCUCUGGGCCGUCACUGACGCUGAGGAGCGAAAGCGUGGGGAGCGAACAGGAUUAGAUACCCUGGUAGUCCACGCCGUAAACGGUGGACGCUGGAUGUGGGGCACGUUCCACGUGUUCCGUGUCGGAGCUAACGCGUUAAGCGUCCCGCCUGGGGAGUACGGCCGCAAGGCUAAAACUCAAAGAAAUUGACGGGGGCCCGCACAAGCGGCGGAGCAUGCGGAUUAAUUCGAUGCAACGCGAAGAACCUUACCUGGGCUUGACAUGUUCCCGACGACGCCAGAGAUGGCGUUUCCCUUCGGGGCGGGUUCACAGGUGGUGCAUGGUCGUCGUCAGCUCGUGUCGUGAGAUGUUGGGUUAAGUCCCGCAACGAGCGCAACCCUCGCCCCGUGUUGCCAGCACGUUAUGGUGGGAACUCACGGGGGACCGCCGGGGUUAACUCGGAGGAAGGUGGGGAUGACGUCAGAUCAUCAUGCCCCUUACGUCCAGGGCUUCACGCAUGCUACAAUGGCCGGUACAGCGGGAUGCGACAUGGCGACAUGGAGCGGAUCCCUGAAAACCGGUCUCAGUUCGGAUCGGAGCCUGCAACCCGGCUCCGUGAAGGCGGAGUCGCUAGUAAUCGCGGAUCAGCAACGCCGCGGUGAAUGCGUUCCCGGGCCUUGUACACACCGCCCGUCAAGUCAUGAAA
rnacentral:rRNA from 1 species